AGACAUUGACAGCACAGGAUCUCGCUGGUACCCACGGGUCUGGAGCAGACAGAAUAUACAUACUGGGCAAGCAACAGAUAGAACAGUUAAAGCUGAUCGGUCAGGCGUAAGUCAGGGAGAAGUUAUAGAAACUGACACUGGGGGAUCGCCAUGGUACUCCAGCAUCUGGAGCAGACAGAAUACACAAGCCACAGAUAGAACUGUUAAAUAUGAUAACCCAAGCCUAAAUGAGUCAGAAGGUAAAGGAACCAGUAAUUUGGGAGAAACUCUGUCUAACACGGGCACCUUGAGUAGGCAGCAUUUGCUUCUGACGGAUAAAACAGUUGAUGAUCACAGGCUACUAGAUUCCAAGCUGGGAGAAG